UUGAUUAUUUAGAGUUCACGUAUGACUUUCUCCAAUCAUAUGAUAUCUAAAUAUUUCUUUGCUUUUGCAUUGAUGCAUUUAUUCUUAUAGAGCUGCUCAUGUUUAUUCGGAAGCUCGGAGGGUGCAUGCUUUCAAUGACGUUAUGUCAUCAAAUCUAAGGUUUAGUCACACAAAAUUCUAAAUCAACUGGAUAUGGGUCGCGGGGUCAGUGUGGGUGGUGGUCAACUGGAUAUAUUCUAAGAUCUAUAUAUGAUCUUGCUUGCUUAGAGGAUGAAGUUGAUUUCCUCACAGCUCAAUCAGAGCAAGACUGACUGAAAAGGAAUAAUGUCAAAUUCUGGCAUGUUUUUCGAUCAAAGGAAAUCAAAUUGGCUUUCCUUGUUGGAGGAGGACUUCUGGUAAAAAAGUUCACAAAUGUUUCCGAAACAAUUAUGUAU